AUCCUUCUGGUUCAAGCAAAUGAUGACUGAGGAGGUCACAUGAUCUAUGUGAGAGGUGCUGCUCGUUCACUUGUUACGCAAUGCGCCUCAACCCUUCUGAUC